ensembl:lncRNA
UGUGUGGGGGUGGGGGGGGUGGUGUCCUGCAUCACGGUAGUGUUUCAUUAGCUGUGCAUUAAACCUAGUGAGCUGCAGACAUACACCGUGUUUUGGGCAUGUUUGGGGCUCAGAACUGCUGUGCAGACAGGCAGCUCGCUGGGAUUUGAGCCACGGCCCUGCGCUGCAGUUCCAGUGUGAGGCCCAUAGGAGGCGUAAGAUCCGCGUUCUGUUCACUGCGCAUCUCAGCUGAGCUCGAGACUGAGAGCGCGUUCAUCAUCACCAUCACCAUCAUCAUGUCCACGGCGGAUCACACAGUCAUGCACGGCAUCUGGGGCAGGAACGCGAUGGAGAAGCCUAAGAACAAGGGCUUCAGCCUGAUCAGGAUGAUGUCUCUGAAUUACAGGAAGGAGAAGAAUCCACAGCAGCAGCAUCACAACAACAUGCCCUUCAUGAUCCACUGCCACAUCGGCAAAGAGAUCAAACACAUAUGCAGCAACUGCAGCCGCGUCAGCCACGCGCAGGACGCAGAGGAGGUGGAGAAGCUGGAGCCGCUGGUGUCCGGAUCACACUGCAGGAGCAGGCUCGCCUCUCUGGGACACCUCUUCAAACCCUGGAAGUGGAGGAAGAAGAAGAGCGAGACGUUCACGCAGAUGUCGACCGGUAAAUGCUUGUUUCUGUUCAGUUUAUUCCCUAUAGUAACAAAAAUACAUAAAAUGUACACUACCAGUCAAAUGUUUUUGAACUGUAAGAUUUUUUACUUUUUAUUUUUUUUUGUAAAGAAGUCUCUUCUGCUCACCAAGCCUGCAUUUAUUUGAUCUAAAAUAUACAGGGGACACAGUCAAAUUUGAAGAGCGAGAUGUUCACGCAGAUGUCGACCGGUAAAUGCUUAUUUCUGUUCAGUUUAUUCCCUAUAGUAACAAAAAUACAUAAAAUGUACACUACCAGUCAAAUGUUUUUGAACAGUAAGAUUUUUAACAUUUUUAUUUUUUUUGUAAAGAAGUCUCUUCUGCUCACCAAGCCUGCAUUUAUUUGAUCUAAAAUACACAGGGGACACAGUCAAAUUUGGACAUUUUUACUAUUUAAAAUAAUUGUUAAUACAUUGAUAAUAAUCAGAAAUGUUUCUCGAGCAGCAAAUCAUCAUAUUAUUAUGAUUUCUGAAGAUCAUGUGACACUGAAGACUGGAGUAAUGAUGCUGAAAAUACAGCUGCACAUCACAGAAAUACAUUACACUUUAACAGAGAUUCACACAGAAAACAGUUUUUUUAAAUAGUAAAAAUAUUUUCCAAUAUUACUGCUUUUGCUGUAUUU